rnacentral:tRNA from 1 species
GCGCGGUUAGCUCAGUGGUAGAGCACCACUUUGACACGGUGGGGGUCACUGGUUCGAACCCAGUAUCGCGCACCA